AACGUGUGUAGGAGCGCAGUAUGACGAGAAAUAGCGUCAUCGCGUUGAAGCGGAGGACCACUGAAACAAGGGGGUGUAUUCAACAUUUUUGGUUUUUAAUUUGUUUGUUUGUCAAUUGCUGUCACUUUUUUUCUCCAAAAAUAUAGCUAUAUGUUAUGUAAAAUUUUUGACAUAAAUCAUAAUUGAUAAUUAUAUGCUUUCUGUUUGUGGCAUUCCUUAUUAGUAGUAGUAGUAGAUAGUAGCAGAAAUAACAACAAUGAAUGAAAUAAUCUGCACUCUGAAAAUAAGUAAGAAUUUGCAUCAACAACAGGUUGUUUACCUUGUUAUGUUGUGAACGUUUUUAUGGUUGCCUAGUAGUGAGUGUGUGUAAAUCACUUAUGGAAACCAGUAGUCAGAGGGCUUAGCUACUCACAUGGCUCAUGUAGGUCAUUGCAGAUAUCUCUCUAUCAACUAUGUGUUGUUUGCUUAAGAAUCCUACUGCUGCCAAGAAGACGUGCACUGCCAUUGCAGGUGUUCGAAGUAGCUGCUGCUCAAGUCAUGAAAAAGCAACCAAUUUAAGAGACAAUUCCAUCACCUAAACGCAUGUAACUCUUUAUUAUCUGUGUCCAACGGCUAAGCAACUGGUAUUGUAGCCUGCAUCCAUAAGAGCCAAUUUAUGCUUGAUCCAAAAAUGUGGUCGGAUGUGUAUGGAUGGUGUGUUGCAGUUGCGAAGCCAAGCAUAAAUUGGCUCUCACCAUAAAUGCUGAAUGGUCUAUGCAGACGUUGGAAUGACCAUGUUGCACAGAAGGUUAAAUGUUGGGCCACACCUUGUAGACAAAUCUUAGAUUGUUGGUCUUCUGAUCUAUACAGCUUUGAUCUAUAAACCAACAAUAACUGAAAGCAGAUUCUCAAGAUAAAAAAAACUAAACAGUAAUAGUUUAUAUUAAAAUGCAGAGCAAGGUGGAAUAGCCAAAGUGACCCCCAAAACGUUUCCAGAAGAAUCGUAACAAGGCGCAGCACAGCACAGGUUUAUUGUUCUUGAACACACCUCAAACUGAGUCUGACAGCAAAUAUGGCGACGUCCAUGAGAAGGGCAUUAAUGCCUUUGCAUCGGAUGAGAUUCAGCAAUUUGAAGAAUGCAGAGGCUUCGCUGGAGGUACGGUAUCCCCUGCCCUUUGUUGUCCCGAUAAGGACCAAGAAGUGCUACUUCGUUCCCCCCGCAGUGGGGAUAAAAGGAAAGGCAGCAGCGUCGGCAGAUCAGGAGGCCAAAGCCAGAGCGGCAGGUGUUGUCCUAAGGCAGGAGUACAUGGAGAGAGACAUCAACAUCGCCCGCACUGCGGGAGUGUUUGACCCCUAUAUCCCCCCAGAAGGUGAUGCUCGUCUCUCCAGUCUGUCGAAAGAGGGCCUGAAACGGAGCACAGAGCAGAUCAGCUAGCCUCCCAGCUAGCGUGGGGCAGCAGGGUAGCCUAGUGGUUAGAGCGUUGGACUAGCAACCGAAAGGUUGCAAGUUCGAAUCCCCGAGCUGACAAGGAUACGCAAGAUCAAAGAGCAUGACGCUGAGUUCACCACAAUGGCAUUCCCAGUGAAAGCUCAGGAGAUCUUCGUUGACGCGCACAACGCUCUCACACAACUGUUAUGAUCCCUGGCCUGGAGCUCAAGCAAGGCGAGGAAUUCGAGGGGCUCAACUAUGAAGUGCCCAAGCCUAAGGCUGUGCAGUGGCACAAUUAGACCACAGGUGGGAGCUGUAAUUCUGGGCCAACACGUACAGACUCAAAAUCAACUGUUAAAAUGAACAUUCCAUUUUUUUAAAGAAAACAUCAUGAAGCUACAUUUAGUUUUCUGCCUUUUUAUAUAAAAAUGCACUGUUGUUCCUUACAUCUAAAACAAUAAUAAUCCAUAUUGUCCAGAUCUGUACAGAUUGUAUGGUUUAUUUCAAUGGUGAAUAUAUUCCAUGUUAAUUUAAAGAAUACAAAAAUAAAAUGUCCCAUCUCUUUUUUCAUACCUUUUUGAUUUCAGUGAAUGUACUUUUCAUAGGCAAAACAUACAAAAAUAACUGA